rnacentral:rRNA from 1 species
UACGAGGGGGGCAAGCGUUGUUCGGAAUUAUUGGGCGUAAAGGAUGCGUAGGCGGUUUGGUAAGUCUUAUGUGAAAUCUACAGGCUCAACUUGUAGUCUGCAUGAGAAACUGCCGGGCUUGAGUAUGGGAGAGGUGAGUGGAAUUCCUGGUGUAGCGGUGAAAUGCGUAGAUAUCAGGAGGAACACCUGUGGCGAAAGCGGCUCACUGGUCCAUAACUGACGCUGAUGCACGAAAGCUAGGGGAGCAAACAGG